CAAGGAUGGGUCGAAAAUAGUAAUAAAAACAAAAAAAAAACGGUAAAAAGAAGGAAGGCAACACCAGGGCGAAUAAAGUGAUAAAUAAAUUCCAAAAAGGGACAAACUUACAAAAAAAAAGUGACAAAAACUUCAUGAAAAAGCAGAAAAGAAACUUUG